GUUAGGAAUAUUCGUCAAUGGGGGAAACCCUGAACGAGCAAUGCCGCGUGAAGGAAGAAGGUCCUCUGGAUUGUAAACUUCUGUUGUAAGGGAAAAACGACUAAAUUAGGAAAUGAGUUUAGAGUGAUGGUACCUUACGAGAAAGCUCCGGCUAACUACGUGCCAGCAGCCGCGGUAAUACGUAGGGAGCGAGCGUUAUCCGGAAUUAUUGGGUGUAAAGCGUGUGUAGGCGGUUAAAUAAGUCUAAGGUUUAAGCCCGGAGCUCAACUCCGGAUCGCCUUAGAAACUGUAUAACUUGAGUAUGGUAGAGGUAAACGGAAUUUCUAGUGUAGCGGUAAAAUGCGUAGAUAUUAGAAGGAACACCAGUGGCGAAGGCGGUUUACUGGGCCACCACUGACGCUGAGACACGAAAGCGUGGGGAGCAAAUAGGA
rnacentral:rRNA from 1 species